UUUUUUUUUUGUGAUAUCAGAAAAUGUUUUGCAUGAUCAUUUAAUAUAUCUAGUACUUUUGAGAUUUUAACAUGCUUGCGAAGUACUAAAGUAUGUAAGCUUGAAUAAUUGAUGAUCAUCGAAAAAUUAGUUGUUAAUCUAUUAUAGAAUGUGUUUCAUGGGUUUUGUGUAAUUAGGUUUUGUUAGGACUUUGGGUUUUUCCUCUUUGAACUUUCUUUGACAAAAUUAUCUUUUGAAUUUUCUUUAAUACAUUGUCUGUCUUAGAUGAUAUGCAUGACUUGUAAUGGGUUGUAAGUAAUAUAUUAAUCAUGAUCUUAGAAUCUAUUGGCUUAUUACCCUUAAAUAUAAUGGGUAGUUCCAAAUGCAUGAUAAGGGAAGACCUAGGCAAUUUCUUUAGAUCGUUUGAGGUUUUCAAGCCAACCCUUGCAUAAAAUUUCUUAGUACCCUAAUUUAGCCUUUUAAGAUUUUUUUUUGUUUAAUGUUGUUAUCUUAGCCUAUAAAGCCUUAAUUGCUAAAUCCUAAUCCUUUUGUUUACCCUAAGUAUUUAGUGCUUAUCAGACAUAUUCCUUUAGGUUAAGUAUUAAAUGAGAUAAGUAGAAAUAUUAAGGUGGAUACUUUAAGGUGAGAAAAUGAAUAAAGCAUAGCUUUACCAUACGUUGUAUUUACAUCAUGGAAAAUUUAAAAAAUCAAAAGAAAAUGACUAUUUUUUUGUUUACCUAUUUUAUCCAUGUUUUAUUUGAAAGGUAGAAAAAUAAAGAGAUAAAAAAAAAGGGAGUUAAAAAUAUAAUUAGUGCUCAUAUAGGGGAAGUAGGGAAUGAUACUUUAAGCUUUUUAUGAUCCGUAAGUAACUAAUGCUUAAGAUUUAAGCCUAAAUUGACUUUUCAUCCUACCUUAGCCCUAGCCUAAUGUUACAAGCCAAAAGACCUAGUGAACUUGUUAUUCAUAUUGGAAUCAAAUUAAAGGAGAGGGGAACUGUUAAUGGACUUAUGAAAUCAUGAUUAUUAUGCUUAACUUACAAUCUAUUACUGUUUAAUGUGUUGAUAAGAUUGCACACAGGUAAUUGCACACAAGUACGGAGGUCCAAGGUUUCUAAUUUUGCCUAAUUAUAUAAAUAUUCAUGUGACUAUUUAUAUUUUUUCUAGCAUCUAUUAUUUCUAUUUUCAUCAUAACUUCUUGUUUUAUAAUACUUUUGUACUUUGUUCACAUGUUAUUUUAAUUUGUGUACUAUUUUUGGGUAGUAACAAUUUUCUUUUUUGUUUUGUUGCUUGGGGACAAGCAAAAAUGUAAGUGUGGGGGUAUGAUGACUCAUCACCAUGUGAUUGUUUUGGAAUAUAUCUUACUUACACUUGCUUGGUUUCCUAACGCGUUUUAUAUGUUUUAAUUUUAUUUUAGUGAUUUGAUCUCUUUUUUGUUUGUAUUGCAAAUAUUGUGUAUUUUUAGUGUUUUCAUGCAUUUAGUUUCAACAAAAUAUUCCAUGUGGAAUUUGCAUGUAAAAAAAGUUUGGGAAGAAGACGUCAAUACAUGGAACCAUGAGAUUAAAUGCACUAAGCCUAAAGUUGAUCCAAGAUGAUGAGUGAAAGUUCAAAGCUCAAAAGAUUAAUUUUUUUUAAUUUGAACACAUUCAGAACUUUCAGUCGAAACACUUCCUAGUGUUUCGAUCAUGCCUCGAGCCUUAGGACUCCAUUUUCAGUGUACCUUGUAUCUUUGAAAAGGGGAUUUGAAUAUCUAUUCAAAUAUUGGAACACCAAAACCAAAAUGCAUCAAGAAUAAAUCCAAAAGUAAAGAUAUUGUUACAAGUUUCACAUUGAUGGAUAGUUUUGAUGCAUUUUCUUGUUUGGCUCAUAUCUCCUAACAAAAUUGGAAUUUGGAGUUGAAAUUUUUACAACAUAUAGACACGAUAUAGACCAUCAAUCAACUCUCUUUGACUUUUCCCAUUGAGAGUCGUUAACUUGGACAAAAGGAAUCAUCUUUUAACAUGUGAAAAAUGCCUCAAAAGAUGACAAAGAAGUAGGCCUAGAAAUUUAUUAUUAACAAGUCCUUUAUAUUUUCAUUUUCCUCUUCACAAAUCUCUAUAAAUAGCCUUUCAUUUCAAAAUAAGAGGCAUCUUGAAGUUGAGUUCAAGAUCAUUUGCUUGUUAAGUUUUUGUUUGUUUCAUUAUUCGUGUAAAUUUUCAAGUUUCUUAUAUCUAAUAAGUCUAUUUCAUCUCAAUUUGAGUUGUUUACUUUUGCUAUGUUAUUUUAAGUUUUCAAUAUUUAGGUGAAAGGGUGAAACUCUUGGGAAAUAUUAAGGUAAAUUCCAUACUCAUCAUUUGAGCUAAAAUUAAUUAUCAAUCACUUGUUAUAUCAUACUUGUAAAGUAAGAUAUUUUAUUUAUUAUAGACAAUAUAUGGCACAAUGAAUGCUUGGAUAAAUUAACCUUAAUUUUUUUAGACAUAAAAAUUGGUGUAAUAAAUUUUUGAAAUAUUUUUAUAAGUUUUGAAGUUAUCAGCUGAUUAUAAUACCAUAUGGUUGGACUAAACUUAAAUAGUUGAACUGUCAUAUUGCACUAUCCUUUGCUUAUGGAUUCAUUUGCUAAAUUCUUGGACUUAUUGGACAAUAAUUUUGGACACUUCAUUGGUGGACAUACCUUUGCUCAUGGAUUCAUAUGCUUAAUUAGCGGACGUACAUUGCUAGAUCAUCCGAUUAGGACCUCCAUUUAUGUGUGUAUUCUAAUUGAGUAAUAACAUUGAGUAUUAAAUUUUAAUCUUAAUAUGACACUAAGAGUUGAUCCUCUAACCUUAGCAUAUUUUCUUCCAGGUAUUUGUUUUAAUUUUCUUGUCUUGACUUUUUAUUUUUAGUAUUUCUAGCUACUAUUUUCAUUAUCAGUACUUAUUCCAAAGUUAAGUGUUAAAUUUUUGUUCUAGCAUAAUACUUGUAAUCUUGUAAGUUCUAAUCAACUUCUCUGUGGAUCGACCUUGGACUCCCGAGAUUUUAUUACUUGAAUAUAACCUAAACUUGGGUUGUAGACCAAGAAAGUCACUGUCACAAUGUGAUAUGAUUCCCAACCCAUCCAUCCACUACACACCACGAGUUCCCCAAAACCCAUCUACCAAACUCCAAACAUUGCGAGCUGAGCUUGAUGUGGUUAAACCAUCAUUAUAAACAAUGCAGUUAUAUUGCCAAUCAUAAUACAAUGCACUAACAACAUUAAUACGGACUUAAUUUUCCCCCAUUACUCCAUAAAACUCCUUUGUCAUCCACAAUAUCCCAUCCCAUGCAUAUGCAUUAUGUCGUAUGAGAUGCAAACUAGAACUUGUUUCCAUUAUAAUCACAUUUCAGAGGCAUGAUCUAUACACCUUCAUUAUCAUUCAUUUCCAUAUAGUGAUGACACUUGUAACACCCCAAACACAACCUAAACAUUAUGGCUAGAUCUAGAGAAGUCACCAUGAUCAAUUAUGAAAAUUCAUAAAUAAAUUGAGGCUUGUAGAAAAUGCUAGUUUUUGAUAAAUACAAUCCCUAGUUUAUUUUAAAGAAAACCCAUCUCUUUUAAUUAUUUUGUAAAUUUUGUUGAUUAAUUUUAUGUUUAUAAAACACUUAUGUUUGCAAUGAAACUCUUAGUAAAAUUUAGCUUUGAGAAACGCGGUUUGUUUUCAAAAAUUCAACAUUUUGCUAAUAGAGUAAUUAUAAUUUAAAAUGAUUAAACGAUUCAAAAAAACAGAAAACCAAAAGUCCAAAACAAAAAUAAUCCCAAGAGUCCAAAAUAGUCCAACAGUAUCAAAAUAGAGUAAACAAAGUUUAAAGUAACACAAAUUAAAUGUGUUUAUCUGAGCUCCCGUCGCACCGACCCGUCCUAUGUCUAAGGAUUACCUGAGAAUCAAGCAAACAGAGAAUGAGCUUACAAGCAGUAUGUAACUUACUAUAAUUAAAAUAGUAGAUAAAAUUCAGAACAUGCAUUCAGAUACCAAUUAGACGAAUUUCAUAGACAGAAAUAGAAACAGAUGCAUAUCAGAUACAGAUACAGAUUAAUUUCCUACCCCCAUCUGCUACACACCAGCUCUGACCAUCCCUGCACACCAAUUAGGGUAUUAAAUACCCAAUUAGCCCUACACACCAAUUAGUGUCUGUAUGACACUUUUCAGAAUAUUUGUAGCCUAGCUACCAGAUCAAUAGGCGAUAUACUGCCAAAUAUGGAUAUACGUAGCUGAGCCACAAAAUUAGGCAGAUAAAUUAAACUAUCAGCAAUUCCUCCAUAAACAUAUUUCUCACCCCAAUGCAUAUGCAAAACUAGACAAUAUCACAUAUGUGCACGACAUGCAUGUUUUUCACAUCUGAUUAGAUCAUACCUAGCAUAUAACAGAACAUGCUAUCACAUAUAACAUACCACUCAUCCGUUUGCUAGUCAUAUUAAGCAAUAACAGAGUAUCAAAAAUCAUGGUUUAUAGGCAAUUUUAUACCAUAUGGGCCCUAUAGAAAGGUUAUAUUCGAUUCGCACGACAACCAGAACCCUAGGGAAAAUUUUCAGAAUUUAGGCCCACACGCCCGUGUGGCAUCGACAGUCUCAAUUUUGGCUUUCAGUCGUUCGCUAAUUUCUUGAGUUUUCGUUACACACUUCAUCUGAUUUUGAUUCGAUUGCAACCAUGAGAUUUCCAGAACCUAAAAAUAAUAAUUAAACCACCAAUUAAGACGAUUCCCACACCCAAUUCACAAAAAUUGAUAUAUCAAACAUCAAAUUUUAAACGAAGAAUUUCAACCUAAAACCCCAAUUUGACUCCUUAUCUUCAAGAAACAGCAGAACACCAAUGAUUCUAGGUUUCUGAAGAAUUAAUUGCCUUUCCAACUUCACCUAGAAAGUCAAACAAUUAAUCAUACAGAACAUAUUUAACCCACAACUAACAAAAAGAACAAUAAGAACAAACUCACUUAAUACAAGAGAAAACUUAAUGGCAGAUACACAAGUAAUUGAUUACGCUUAAUGGCAAUUGAUUUGCAGAAAGAAAAGGAAAAGAACAAAGUGUAGAACCGCACAAGAAAAAAAAGAAAAGAAACUAGCAAUUGGGAAAAAAUAAAAGUGGGAACUGAGGGAGAGGAAAGUGGAGAAUAAACAGAGGACACCUUACCACUAAACCAGCAGGCUCAUUUUAUCACAAGUUUAGUGGAAAUAGUAUUUAAGUCAAAUAAAAAGAGGUAGGGAUAGGACCUCAAACACACAUCCAAUGCAUUUAACCAUUGAACCAAAUCAAUUACUUAGACAAAAUUUAACAAAUCAAAACUUAGAUUUUGGGGGCAUUACAACACUUAUCAAGCAUUCCAUUUCAUAAUCAAUUCAAUGAAAUUCUAACAUGCCUCAUUUUCAUAAUAAUUUCUUAUGCAAUUUAACAUGUUACAAGAGGAAUUUUUCAAUACAUGUAUAACAAGCUCUCAACAGUACAUUCCAUGGCAUUUCACUUAAGCAUACAAUUCAACCAUUCAAUAGUUUUACUUUUGUAAUAUUAAUACAUGUUAUGCAUUCAACCAACAAUCAUUUUAUUUUCAAAUCAUCCAUGUUAUUUCAUACUGAUACCACUCGUAUAAAUAGUCAUUCAACCAUGCUAAUCUUGCACGAAUUCCAUUUAAUUAGGGCUUGAAAUGUACCUGAUUUAACCACCUUAAAAUUGUUUCCUUAGCCAUUUAAAAAGUCGUACCAACAAGGUUAAACAUCAAUUUAACCACUAAAAAUAUAAUUUAAACAGACAAGUUUACAGGUUAGAACACAAACCUUAAUUUCACAAAACCGCAGUACUACUUGUGAAAUCUACGCUUCCUUCACCAAACUUAAACGUACCUAAACCAAAAUCCAACUUUAAUAGAGUUAGGAUGUUGUCAAACCAGCCUUAAAACACCCUCUAAGGGUUUAGGCAAAUCAUUGUUACAAGGCCUUAAUUACAAAUCCAAAUCAGUUGAAUCAAUUACAAUGAUAUGGUGCGAAGCGAGAGCGUGGACGAAAAAUGGCUUCACUGCUGUUCUAGGAUGUUUAAAUCAAUGCCUAACACAUUAAAAUGCUAAAAAAUCAGUAGCUAAUCAUCCAUUUAAAACCUUAAAAUUAGUAGCUAAUCAAUAGUUGAUUAGGAUAGGAUAAAAUAGAUCUACCCUUGCCGGAAAAUACUCGAAAAAAUUGUGAAAAAUUAGCAGCUCUUAAUGGCAGAUCUAGGAGCAAAGCACCAGCAUAAUUGGCCACAUAGGGGCGGUUUUGCAAAACACCAAGGAGAUUUGUUUAAAAGCUGAUAAAGGAAUAUCUUUAGACUUGAAAAUUAGUAAAAAUAAAGGCUGAAAUAGUAGUGUAUUUUACUAAAUAAAUAACAUACUGUUGCUCAAUAAAAUGAAAAACUUUAGGGGUAACAACAACCACUGACGGUAGCAAUUUUUGGGAUAAUUUUGGCAAGUUCAAAAGGAAUGUUUUAGGGCUAGAAAUAAUUUUUUAAAAUUAGUAUAGAAAACAGAAAUUUUAAGAUAUGAUUUUGAAAACAAAACAAUAGGAAAAUGGUGUAGAAAAAUGAGAGAAUCAAGCACAUACUCUAGCAAGUUAAAGGGGCGAAAAUGGAGAUCUUUGUGGCAACAGUGGGAUCCAAUUUUUGAGUGGUUCAAGAGACUAAUUCAAGGUUGAAAAAAUAAUGAAAUAAAAUCGAAAGGGAGGAAGAAAAAUGACAAAAAUUAGCACCAGUGGAGAAGGGAAGGACGCCAAGGAAAAAUGAGUUUGGUGGGCGACACAAUGAAGGAGAAAAGAAGAAAAUUGAAAAAGGGAUAAAAGAGAAAAGGAAGGGGUGGCUAAGGUUGGAAAAAGGAUGACUAAAAGAUGAAAAAUAAAUGAAAAAGUGAUAUUUAUACCUAGAUUAACUAGGCAUGGGCAGCACAAAAAUAGGGGAAAGGAGGAAAAUUAGCAAAAGUAUGCUAUUUUGCAAGGGAAUAGAAUCAAACUUGAAUCCUU
rnacentral:lncRNA from 1 species